CCUACGGGAGGCUGCAGUGGGGAAUAUUGGACAAUGGGGUGAACCCUGAUCCAGCGACGCCGCGUGAGUGAAGAAGUAUUUCGGUAUGUAAAGCUCUAUCAGCAGGGAAGAAACUGACGGUACCUGACUAAGAAGCCCCGGCUAAAUACGUGCCAGCAGCCGCUGUAAUACGUAGGGGGCAAGCGUUAACCGGAUUUACUGGGUGUAAAGGGAGCGUAGACGGUGCAGCAAGUCUGAUGUGAAAGGUCGGGGGCCAACCCCGGGACUGCAUUGGAAACUGGUGAACUGGAGUACAGGAGAGGUAAGCGGAAUUCCUGGUGUAGCGGUGAAAUGCGUAGAUAUUAGGAAGAACACCAGUGGCGAAGGCGGCUUACUGGCCUGUAACUGACGUUGAGGCUCGAAAGCGUGGGGAGCAAACAGGAUUAGAUACCCUUGUAGUC
rnacentral:rRNA from 1 species